rnacentral:rRNA from 1 species
CUGGCGGCACGCCUUAUACAUGCAAGUCGAACGAAGUAGCAAUACUUAGUGGCAGACGGGUGAGUAACAUGUAGGUAUCUUCCCUUUGGUGAGGAAUAACACGAGGAAACUUGUGCUAAUACCUCAUAAGUCUUUACGGAGAAAGCUUUAUGCGCCAAUGGAUGAGCCUGCACUUGAUUAGUUUGUUGGUGGGGUAAUGGCCUACCAAGACUUUGAUCAAUAGCUGAUCUGAGAGGAUGAUCAGCCACAUUGGGACUGAGACACGGCCCAAACUCCUACGGGAGGCAGCAGUAGGGAAUAUUGCACAAUGGAGGAAACUCUGAUGCAGCGAUGCCGCGUGAGUGAAGAAGGCCUUUGGGUUGUAAAGCUCUUUCGUCGGGGAAGAAAAUGACGGUACCCGAAUAAGAAGGUCCGGCUAACUU